rnacentral:rRNA from 1 species
CCAAGGCGACGAUCAGUAGGGGUUCUGAGAGGAAGGUCCCCCACAUUGGAACUGAGACACGGUCCAAACUCCUACGGGAGGCAGCAGUGAGGAAUAUUGGUCAAUGGACGAGAGUCUGAACCAGCCAAGUAGCGUGCAGGAUGACGGCCCUAUGGGUUGUAAACUGCUUUUAUAAGGGAAUAAAGUGAGUCUCGUGAGACUUUUUGCAUGUACCUUAUGAAUAAGGACCGGCUAAUUCCGUGCCAGCAGCCGCGGUAAUACGGAAGGUCCGGGCGUUAUCCGGAUUUAUUGGGUUUAAAGGGAGCGUAGGCCGGAGAUUAAGCGUGUUGUGAAAUGUAGACGCUCAACGUCUGCACUGCAGCGCGAACUGGUUUCCUUGAGUACGCACAAAGUGGGCGGAAUUCGUGGUGUAGCGGUGAAAUGCUUAGAUAUCACGAAGAACUCCGAUUGCGAAGGCAGCUCACUGGAGCGCAACUGACGCUGAAGCUCGAAAGUGCGGGUAUCGAACAGGAUUAGAUACCCUGGUAGUCCGCACGGUAAACGAUGGAUGCCCGCUGUUGGUCUGAAUAGGUCAGCGGCCAAGCGAAAGCAUUAAGCAUCCCACCUGGGG